rnacentral:rRNA from 1 species
AUUGAACGCUGGCGGCAUGCUUUACACAUGCAAGUCGAACGGUAACAGGGUGCUUGCACCGCUGACGAGUGGCGAACGGGUGAGUAAUGCGUCGGAACGUGCCGAGUAGUGGGGGAUAACGCAGCGAAAGUUGUGCUAAUACCGCAUACGUACUGAGGUAGAAAGUGGGGGACCUUCGGGCCUCACGCUAUUCGAGCGGCCGACGUCUGAUUAGCUAGUAGGUGAGGUAAAGGCUCACCUAGGCGACGAUCAGUAGCGGGUCUGAGAGGAUGAUCCGCCACACUGGGACUGAGCCACGGCCCAGACUCCUACGGGAGGUAGCAGUGGGGAAUUUUGGACAAUGGGCGAAAGCCUGAUCCAGCCAUGCCGCGUGUCUGAAGAAGGCCUUUUGGUUGUAAAGCACUUUAAGCGAGGAGGAGGCUACUUAGAUUAAUACUCUGGGAUAGUGGACGUUACUCGCAGAAUAAGCACCGGCUAACUCUGUGCCAGCCGCCGCCGUAAGAC